rnacentral:rRNA from 1 species
UACGUAGGGCGCAAGCGUUGUCCGGAAUUAUUGGGCGUAAAGAGCUCGUAGGCGGCCUGUUGCGUCCGCUGUGAAAUCACCCGGCUCAACUGGGUGGCUGCGGAGGAGACUGGGCAGCUUGAGGGGCCUAGAGGCCGGUGGAACUCCCGGUGUAGUGGUGAAAUGCGUAGAGAUCGGGAAGAACACCAGUGGCGAAGGCGGCCUUCUGGACCAAUACUGACGCUCAUGCACGAAAGCGUGGGGAGCAAACAGG